UACGUAGGGCGCAAGCGUGUCCGGAAUUAUUGGGCGUAAAGAGCGCGCAGGCGGUCGUUCAAGUCGCGUGUGAAAGCCCCCGGCUCAACUGGGGAGGGUCACGCGAUACUGAUCGACUCGAAGGCAGGAGAGGGAAGUGGAAUUCCCGGUGUAGUGGUGAAAUGCGUAGAUAUCGGGAGGAACACCAGUGGCGAAGGCGACUUCCUGGCCUGUUCUUGACGCUGAGGCGCGAAAAGCUAGGGGAGCAACGGG
rnacentral:rRNA from 1 species